UACGUAGGCGGAAUAUUAAGUCAGUGGUGAAAUCCUGCGGCUCAACAGUAGAACUGCCAUUGAUACUGAUAUUCUUGAAUGUAGUUGAGGUAGGCGGAAUGUGUAAUGUAGCGGUGAAAUGCUUAGAUAUUACACAGAACACCGAUUGCGAAGGCAGCUUACUAAACUAUGAUUGACGCUGAUGUACGAAAGCGUGGGGAGCGAACCGGAUUAGAGACCCGAGUAGUCC
rnacentral:rRNA from 1 species